GAAGGCUCCCCCGCUCGAGGUACUCGUGUGCUCACGCAGUGGUUCAGGCUGUGACCUGGCAAUUCCACUGCACCACCUGUCCUGCACUGUCCAUGUGCCACCUCCACGUGUUGCCCAGCUUUUGGGGGAUUCGCUGUGACCUCCCUGUCUCACCACUGCCUUGUGCACUGGACUUCACAGCAUCUUGAUGGUGGCUUUGUGCUUCCCAAGGAGUGCGUGGACCUUUCUGAUGGGAGUGAGCAGCAAGGAACCGACUGAAUCAUAGAAUCACAAGGUUGGAAACAACCUGUAAGAGUCUCAGCUAUAGAGGUCCUAUAAGGGUCUCAGCUUCCUUCCUGCCCUGCGCUUCACUGAGGGACCCUGCAACAAACUCACGAGGUGGCCAUGGGCCCAGCUUUGCCAGCUUUCACUGCGAAAGGGAGCAGUUCAGGGAAAGACACAGCCUGGAUCACAUCCCAGGUGCUGUCUGUCUGUGGUAGGUUCCAGAGCAAGGAGGCCUCUCCGUGCUAUCGCUGCACAGUGAUUUCAGCCUGUGGCACCCACACUGGGACACAUGGAUGCUCCAGGAAACAGCUGUGAACCCUGGGGCUGGAAUAAAGAUGCCAAAAACAGUGUAGAAGAAAAACC